CUGCCCUGUUUGGGGGCUAUAACAUGGAGUUUUUGAUCAUUUUCCAGGCCCAAACAAACAAAGCUCUGCUCACCAGCCAGGGAAUGCAGAGACCCAACUCUUUUGUGUGUGAGAGAGACUCUGUGCAUGAGAGGGAGAGUUUGUGCGUAAACACCAAGGGAGACUGAUUGCUCCCCCAAAGCUUCCAGCUUCGAAGUGUUUGUUAAGAUUUUGGUGGGAAUAUCUUUCUCCUCUCUUUUGCUUGUUUCUAGGAGGAGAGGAGAGCGCAGAGGAGGUUGCUUCAGAAUCUUUGACCAGCUAGGAAGAAUAAAUUCCUGCACCCAGAGGCCAAAAACAGAUGACUCUCCUCUCCCAAUGUCAUUUGCACUCCAGGGCCAGCCAAGAGGGAUGAAAGAACAAGGAUGGAGGGAAAGAUCUCAGCUCUUUGUGACUGUCAGUACCUCCUACCUAGGUACAGCCAAAGGGCAAGAUUGCAAUUGCCAAAUGCCAGCCCACAAGAGAGAUGAGGUGAUGCAUCAAGAAAAAAAUUUGGUUUUUUUUUCUUUAUGAGUGCCACUUUUCUGGAGCUAGCCUGCCUCUGCUGCACUUCUGCCUGCCUUUUCUCUGCUGCACACAAGUCCCAGGAAGAGGCAUUUGUGGUGCUGGUUAUUUGUUAGGUGGUCUCUUGGCUUGGACCAUGAUUUCAGUUAUUCUAUCAACUAAUUUUGUUUAGUGUCAAAUUGGUUAACAUUUUCCUCUUCCACUUUACAGACAGGAGAUUGCACAAAUGAUGAAACUAAUUUUUACGAAUCAUUCCGUGGAUCAUGGGCAGACAAGGAUACUUUUGUAUUGUUUGCUGGUUUGCAGUUUUCUGUUCUGGAUUUCACGGAUAAACAAGAAAUCUAGCAAAGUAAGCACAUGAAUAUUGGCAGAUACUUGAAGCUAUGGACUUUCAUAAAAGAAAAAUAUAAAAUAUAAAUGUGUUGAAGUGGACAGUAUAUGUUUUGAUUUUAUAAAAUUUAUAAACAAAAGUGUAUGGUCUAGUGGUUUA
rnacentral:lncRNA from 1 species